rnacentral:rRNA from 1 species
AACCUGCCCAAGAGAUCGGGAUAACACCUGGAAACAGAUGCUAAUACCGGAUAACAACAGAUGAUGCCUAUCAACUGUUUAAAAGAUGGUUCUGCUAUCACUCUUGGAUGGACCUGCGGUGCAUUAGCCAGUUGGUAGGGUAACGGCCUACCAAGGCGAUGAUGCAUAGCCGAGUUGAGAGACUGAUCGGCCACAUUGGGACUGAGACACGGCCCAAACUCCUACGGGAGGCAGCAGGU